rnacentral:rRNA from 1 species
GGGCACGACACCGGAGAGGGAGCCUGAGAAACGGCUACCACAUNNAAGGAUGGCAGCAGGCGCGCAAAUUACCCAAUCCCGACACGGGGAGGUAGUGACAAUAAAUAACAAUACGGGGUUCUUUUGGAUCUCGUAAUUGGAAUGAGUACAAUUUAAAUCUCUUAACGAGGAACAAUUGGAGGGCAAGUCUGGUGCCAGCAGCCGCGGUAAUUCCAGCUCCAAUAGCGUAUAUUAAAGUUGUUGCAGUUAAAAAGCUCGUAGUUGAAUUUCGGGGUUAGUAGGUUGGUCAUGCCUCUGGUAUGUACUGGUCUCACUGAUUCCUCCUUCCUUAUGAACCGUAAUGCCAUUAAUUUGGUGUUGCGGGGAAUUUGGACUGUUACUUUGAAAAAAUUAGAGUGUUUAAAGCAAGCUAACGCUUGAAUACAUUAGCAUGGAAUAAUGAAAUAGGACGUUCGAUCUUAUUUUGUUGGUUUCUAGGAUUGACGUAAUGAUUAAUAGGGAUAGUUGGGGGCAUUAGUAUUCAAUUGUCAGAGGUGAAAUUCUUGGAUUUAUUGAAGACUAACUACUGCGAAAGCAUUUGCCAAGGAUGUUUUCAUUAAUCAAGAACGAAAGUUAGGGGAUCGAAGACGAUCAGAUACCGUCGUAGUCUUAACCAUAAACUAUGCCGACUAGGGAUCGGAUGAUGUUAAUUUUUUAAUGACUCAUUCGGCGCCUUACGGGAACCNAAA